GCCUAGGCUCUCAGAGGCGAUGAAGGACGUGAUAAGCUGCGAAAAGCUCCGUUUAGGUGCAAAUAACCUUUGAUGCGGAGAUCUCCGAAUGGGAUAACCCAAUAUGUUGAAGACAUAUUAUACCGUAAGGUAGGCAAACGCAGGGAACUGAAACAUCUAAGUACCUGCAGGAGAAGAAAACAAACGUGAUUCCCCCAGUAGCGGCGAGCGACCGGGGAUAAGCCCAAACCGUUAUUGUUUCGGCAGUAGCGGGGUAGUAGGACUGCGACAUUGAUGAAAUAAAUGAAAUGGAACACCUUGGAAAAUGUGAUCACAGAGGGUGAUAAUCCCGUACAUGCAAGUUUAUGAAUCAUAGCAGACUCCUGAGUAAGUCGGGACACGUGUAAUCCUGACCGAAUCCGCCGGGACCAUCCGGCAAGGCUAAAUACUCCUGAGAGACCGAUAGUGAACCAGUACCGUGAGGGAAAGGUGAAAAGCACUUCGAACAGAAGAGUGAAAUAGUCCCUGAACCCAUACGCCUACAAGCUGUCGGAGCCGCUUCGUGCGGUGACGGCGUGCCUUUUGC
rnacentral:rRNA from 1 species